rnacentral:rRNA from 1 species
AUUGAACGCUGGCGGCAGGCCUAACACAUGCAAGUCGAACGAGUGGCGGACGGGUGAGUAAUGUCUGGGAAACUGCCUGAUGGAGGGGGAUAACUCCUGGAAACGGUAGCUAAUACCGCAUACCAUCAGAUGUGCCCAGAUGGGAUUAGCUUGUUGGUGGGGUAACGGCUAACCAAGGCGGCGAUCCCUAGCUGGUCUGAGAGGAUGACCGGGCACACUGGAACUGAGACACGGUCCAGACUCCUACGGGAGGCAGCAGUGGGGAAUAUUGCACAAGGGGGGCAAGCCUAAUGCAGCCAUGCCGCGUGAAUGAAGAAGGCCUUCGGGUGGUAAAGUACUUUCAGCGGGGAGGCGUUACCCGCAGAAGAAGCCCCGGCUAACUCCGUGCCAGCAGCCGCGGUAAUAC